GACAGAGGGUGCAAACGUUGCUCGGAAUCACUGGGCGUAAAGGGCGUGUAGGCGGGAAUGUAAGUCGGGCGUGAAAUCCCUAGGCUCAACCUAGGAACUGCACUCGAAACUGCGUUUCUUGAGUAUCGGAGAGGAAAGCGGAAUACCUGGUGUAGAGGUGAAAUUCGUAGAUAUCAGGUGGAACACCAGUGGCGAAGGCGGCUUUCUGGACGAUAACUGACGCUGAGACGCGAAAGCGUAAGGAGCAAACAGG
rnacentral:rRNA from 1 species